GACGGAAGGUGCAAGCGUUGCUCGGAAUCACUGGGCGUAAAGGGUGCGUAGGCGGCUCCUUAAGUCAGUGCUGAAAUACUCUAGCUUAACUAGAGGGGUGGCAUUGAUACUGAGGAGCUUGAGUAGAGUCGAGGUAGGCGGAAUUGACGGUGUAGCGGUGAAAUGCUUAGAUAUCGUCAAGAACACCGAUAGUGUAGACAGCUUACUAGGCUUCAACUGACGCUGAGGCACGAAAGUGUGGGGAUCAAACAGG
rnacentral:rRNA from 1 species